AGAGCGGCGGACGGGUGAGUAACACGUGGACAAUCUGACCCCCCGGCCCGGGACUAGCCCAGGGAAACCUAGGAUUAAUACCGGAUGAGACGGGACCCGCGAUGGCGGGAUCCGGGAAAGGCGCUGCGGCGCCGCCGGGGGAUGAGUCUGCGUCCCAUUAGCUAGACGGCGGGGUAACGGCCCACCGUGGCGACGAUGGGUAGCCGGCCUGAGAGGGUGGACGGCCACAUUGGAACUGAGACACGGUCCAGACUCCUACGGGAGGCAGCAGCUAAGAAUCUUCCGCAAUGGGCGAAAGCCUGACGGAGCGAACCGCCGCGUGAACGAAGAAGGCCGUGAGGUUGUAAAGUUCUUUUCGGGAGGGGGAACAACCGUGGCAGGGAAUGGCCGCGGGAUGACGUGAAUCCCGGAAUAAGCCCCGGCUAACUACGUGCCAGCAGCCGC
rnacentral:rRNA from 1 species